rnacentral:lncRNA from 1 species
UUUGCAAAUUUGGGAAGUGUGGAGAUUUGAUUUUAGAUUUGAAGAUGGCAACUGCCCAUUCCAUCAUCAUAUGUUUUGAUGUUCUUCUCAAUGCAAUCAAAUGAAUUAUACUUUCAAUUUCUCUUUGCUCAAUUUCUCUUUGCUGUAUUGAAACUUAUUGUCAAUUAUUAAUAAGAGCGAGUGGUCCUGCUCACUACAUGAAGGAAGAGUCCAUAUGUAUUUAUUAUUGAAUAAAAACAAAACCAAGGCAAUUGUAGUCCUCAUGUUAGAGUUGUAGUGAAGUGAGGAGCAUACCAGUAUCCAAAGCAAAAUAACUGGCAGUGAAAGAGCCACCUUAGUCAAUUUUGAGUGACAAAUGUCAUCUCUCUAUUUGGUAAUUUUUGGUCCCGUGGAUAGGGGAAGAUUCAAGGUCCCUGUCUUACUUAUCUAUUAACAACAUCAGCAUUUGCUAUUCCCAUCACUCAGAUCCAUUCUCUUACUCUCCCUGCAAUUGCUUUCUUUGCCUGCAAGUUGAAGGCAAAAAUGGGGUGUUGCUUAGAUGGAGAUGAUUUGUUGGUCUCUCUGUUGCUGGCUCUAGUCUUGGCAAUGCUCAUCUUUGUCAUCUGUCAACCUCCCCGUCCAAGAAGAGUCGCUCUUUAUUGUACCUCUUGAAUUUUGCAUCAGCUAAGUGUUUUGCGUUGCAUUUUUUUAUCCAUUAUUACUCGUUAGUUCGCCAAGGUGUUCUGUAUGACUAUGUAUUUUCUCCGACUAUCGUCUAGUAAAUUAUAAUAAAAAGGUAAGCUGCUAUUACGAGUGUUGUUAUUUAACUAAAUAGAAAAAUAUUAUAAUACAUAGCUGUAUAAGAUGCCAAUAUGAUGGAUAAUAAAGGGCAAGAAUUGCAUGGAUGACACCGCGACAAGACUUGAAGUACCCCAAGGUUUCGAAGCUUAUCAGUGGCCAGCAACUGUAUAUGGGUAAUUAUGCAAGUUGAAUAACUAUGUUCCAUAAAAUCUUUCAAUUAACACAGUAAGUUCAUGAAUAGAAAGCAAUAGUCAUCCUCCUCCAAUAAUUAAGAGAAAAGAAACAGGCAGUUAAGCAAAGAAAUAAAGCACUGGAUAAAGAGUUUUCAUUGAUGAAAACAAAGUUGAGACACGUUUGAACAUUUAAAAUUUUCAUUUACUUUACGAGCUACUAACAACAUAACUAGCUUUUAGCAGCUCCAUCCAUACAGAGUAGGAUGCGGCGACCUAUUAAUGGGAUCCGACAUCAAGCAGCCAUGUUUAGGAGGGUAAGGC